AUUGAACGCUGGCGGCAGGCCUAACACAUGCAAGUCGAACGAGUGGCGGACGGGUGAGUAAUGUCUGGGAACCUGCCUGAUGGAGGGGGAUAACUACUGGAAACGGUAGCUAAUACCGCAUACCAUCGGAUGUGCCCUGAUUGGAUUAGGUAGUGGGUGGGGUAACGGCUCACCUAGGCGACGAUCCCUAGCUGGUCUGAGAGGAUGACCGGCCACACUGGGACUGAGACACGGUCCAGACUCCGACGGGAGGCAGCAGUGGGGAAUAUUGGACAAUGGGCGCAAGCCUGAUGCAGCCAUGCCGCGUGUAUGAAGAAGGCCUUCGGGUUGUAAAGUACUGUCAGCGGGGAGGCGUUACCCGCAGAAGAAGCACCGGCUAACUCCGUGCCAGCAGCCGCGGUAAUUC
rnacentral:rRNA from 1 species